rnacentral:lncRNA from 1 species
CGUCGCCCAACGACCCAUUUUCUACUAGAUGGCAGCGGCUAUGAGAACCCGGAGGAUGGAGCCUUGGGCCCUGAGGACGAGGACUCCUUCUCCAGCGGUAACUGGGGUCCCCCAGGGCCUCAGAGAAGUGGGAGGACCCUCAAGAGCCCAAAAGGGGCAGGUGUGAUCCCUGGGCCUCCCUUUCCCCCCCUUCUGCAGCAGCCCAGUCUUAUGAGAAUGAGGGCGAAGAGCUGGCCCAGCCAGUGGCCAGGACAGUAGGUGUGUGUGAGGAUGGGGGCAUACCUAGGGGUCAGGGGAAGGCCUGGUGGCCAGGAGGAAUGGUGACUUCUCUCUUCCUUCUCUAGACCUCCUGAGCCCAGACCUCCUGAGCCCCAAUGGGCCUGCCUGGGACCCCAGCCGGGAGGCCACUUCCCUUGGGUCCCAGUCCUAUGAGGAUAUGAGAGGGAUCCUGUAUGCAGCCCCCCAGCUCCACUUCCUUCGGGCCCAGCCUGGUCCCAAUCAUGAGGAAGGUGGGUGCUUCUGCUGACGCCCCCUGUGCAUCCUCGGGGGCUGACUUCCUUCCCGCCGACUUUCCGCCCUCCCUGUUUUGACUGCUUCCUGGUCCCGCCCAGAUGCAGACUCCUACGAGAACAUGGAUAAUCCUGAUGGGCCCGAGCCAGCAUGGGGAGGAGGGGGCCACAUGGGCACCUGGACCACCAGGUGACCCCCUCCAGAGCCCAGGCCUCCUUGGGCCCCCAAUAUACCACACCUGACUCAAAUCUGGGGACCCCAAGCAGAACUUGUUCGACCUCUGGAGCAACGCUGCUGAGGAUGUGUGUGUGUGGAUGUGUGUGUGCGCGUGUGCAUGUGUACGCAAGUGAAACUUCCCAGCCCUCUUUCCUCUCCCCAAAUAAACUCAGCGAGCUCUUCCAAUCCUCCGAAGUCGUGUGCUUGUGUGGGCGGGGAAGGAAAGGUGAGAAUGUGUGCAUCCCCCCAACCCCGGCUCUGGCCAAGGAGGGAGGGCUGCAGCCUCCAUCUAACAAGCCCUUUUCCCUCUGGUGCCUUGGCCUUCACCCAUUGCCCCCACUUGCCUGCCCACCCACCUAAUUCCUCACCAGCCACCCUCCCACCACCCAGUUAUGCAGGCAUUGUUUGUUCAUUAGCUGUGUGCUGGGUGCAUAGUGCAGAAGGAACAAUUAGGAACUGGCCAACUAGUUAGGAAGCAUCAGUUAUCAUCCCUGACGUUUAUUGAGCACCUCUGUCGGUCUAAGCACUCAUAGCAGUUCACCCAUUUCAUCCUGCCAAUAACCUCACCAGGUUGUUCAAGAGACUUUAUGUCUAUUACUCAUUUCCUCUUCACAAACAACCAGAUGAGGUAGGUAUAUUAUUCUUAUGCCCAUUUCAUAGAUGAGGACACUGAGGCAGAGAAGUCGGAUCACAUGCCCAAGCUUCGCCUAGUUGGUAAGUGGAGGGCUCAGGGCCUGAACUUUCUAGAGCCCACAUUCAACCUUGACACUCUCUCUGUAGGUGCAAUUUUAUAGAUGGGAAACUGAGGUUCAGAGAAGCUCAGCUGCAUGUCUGAGGUCAUGCAACUAGCAUUUGGCAGACCUAGGAUGUGAAUUCAGAAAUCUGCCUGCAGUUGCAGCUUCUGUACCUUAUGACCUAAUAUAAAGCCUGCCUGCUCCUGAUUUAAACCAUCAGCAGCCGCUGAAGUCAUUAGGUAGCAAGUGACACCACACCCAAAUUCUUGUCUCAGGAAGCUGGAAUUGAAUCAGUUGCUGAUAAUCUUGGUGCCUUCUGCCUGGACUCUCUGCCACAAGUCUCCUCAGCGCCAGUGGCCUUCUGAAGCCCAGGACUGACCUGUCCCUCUCCUGCUCAAGAAAUUUCAAUACUCCCUUUAAGAUUAAAAUUUUUCAGUAUUUAAAUUUUUAUUUCUAGAAAUCCUUUUCUUACUGCACCUAUUUUUGUUUUUAUAAACUCUAUUCCUUCCUU